rnacentral:lncRNA from 1 species
UGUGUAAGGUAUGUGGUGUGUGACAUAUGUGUGAUACGUGUGUGGCAUCUGUGUAAGGUAUGUGUGGUGUGUGGUGUGUGUAUGUGUGUGGCAUGUGUGUAAGGUAUGUGUGUCUUGUGUGUGAUGUGUGUGUAAUACGUGUGUGUAAGGUGUGUGUGAUGUGUGUGAUACAUGUGUGUAAGGUGUGUAUGGUGUGUGAUGUAUGUGUGAUAUGUGUGUGGCAUGUGUGUAAGGUAUGUGUGUCAUGUGUGAUGUGUGUGAGAUACGUGUGUGUAAGGUAUGUGUGUCGUGUGUGAUGUGUAU